GGGGAGUCGAGAGAGAGUGUGUGUGUAUGUGGCCUGUCUGAGCAACCAAGGUCACAGUGGACCCGCCAGACAGCGCUGUCCAGGGGAUAGCAUGCAUCAGCGCGUGCCAAGUGAGUGCUUUCGCCGGCACACGCGAGUUCUCAGGCCCGUGGCGUUGGGUGGAGGCGGACGGUAGGCUCGUGCCUACUUUGGGGGGUGGCUGUGAGGCUCACAGAGGUGGUUUCGUUUUCCCAGGACCACCCAGGAGUCUCUGAGCUGCAGGUGGAGCCCAGAUCUUUUCCCCUGCGUCUUUUUUGGAACCUACUACCCCCGGGAAGGAGAGAGCCCAGCGGGAGCUCCCGCCCAGGAACGACUUAGGAAGAAGGCAGCCUCGAUUUACCCGGGUGUGCUGGGGUUUGCCGUCCACUGCCCCCCAGGCCCCGAGGCAUGGCGGCAGCAUCCCUGGGCUGACCCGCUGACACUGUGAGUGCCUGAGGGACCCGUCACCAGGCACAGAAGAAGCGCACAAACCGCACCCCCCCCUCCUUUCCCAGGAUGCUCUGCAAUGCGUGGGCUCAGAGUAGCCACCUCGACCGCUCCGAGGGAAAGAGGACCCCAGAGGGCAGGGCUCAGGGAGCCACACGGACAGGCUCAGGCUCUUCCCCAAGAGCAUAGGCUGACUGCUGGAUUUCAAGACAGGAGCGCCCAGGGCGGUUCGGUCAGAGCCACAGCCUAGACCAGGAGCUGCCUAGAGGUGGGAGGAUAUCUGGACGUAAGCAGAAUAAAUGACCCGGGUCCCCGAAGUUCUGGGUUUAAGCCUCCUUCAUGGGGCCGCCUGGGGGAGGCACACAGGCUGUGAGCUCAGACAGCAUUCUUACUAUUAUUAUCUCCAACCCUUAAAUGGCACUCCCUGUGUGGCAGAUACUUCCUAGCAAGAGCCACUCCACGAGCAGGUCCUGUCACCACCCCCGUUUCACAGAGGAACCUGCCCAAGUGGGCUCGAUCCCCAGCCCCGCCGAAAACUCCUAUUUAUUUUUCAAAACCCUGGUAGGGCAUCCCUACGCUGAUCUCCUGGUGGGGGCCAUCCUUCCCCCCAACCCCCCUUGGAGCCCCAUUUCCCACACCUGCCGGUCUGUGCCCAUCCACUGGGCUCCUUGCUCAGAAGCCUGCUUUCCGGAGUCUGAAUCCCCAUCCGGCACAGACAGGGGGUCAAGACGUGUUUGCCGAACGGGACAGCAGAGGCUGUGGCCCCUUUUCUCGUUACUCCCACAGGACCUCCUGGAGGAAAAUGUUGCUUGUCUCCCCCGCAGGUGGUCAGGAAACCUGUCCUUUAAAGGUGACUCUGGGCAGGUCUGCUGGCCCAGCCCACCCCCCAGUUCAUCUUUCCUGGAAACUGGGGGUGGGCGAUGCCUACAGAGGGGACCCCCCCCCCCAAGCUUCCAGGGACGGCGGCAGGAGGCACGAGCAGAAGCCAUGGGACCAGAGGGAGGGGUGUCCCCGGGGAGGCACAGGCAUAUCCAAGAUGCUUAUCUUUCCCCCUCUCUCGUCAACGGCUAUUACGCCGCCUUGGGCCUGUGUGGGCUUUGCAACUUUUCGAGGCGUUGCCUCGAACCCAGUUCUCCUUGACCCUUUGCAACACCGUGAGCUGGGCUGGAGUGGUUCUUCCCACUUCGCAGAAGAGGAAAUGGAGACCCCCCAAAGGUGAUGCCCAGCCUCACAGGAUCAGCGCCUGGUAUUCUGAAGUCCCCCGGCCUGUAGAUCUCUGUCGGCUUCACCCUGCAGCGGGCCAGCCUGGAAACUUCCUAAAUUCCGCCACCGUGUCCGGUUCGCGGCCACCAGGCCCGGCUCCUCCCAGCGUGGCCCUCAGAGGCGGCUCCUUCCAGGGAGAGCCAGACUCCAGCCUGCUAGCAGAGGAUGUUUUCCUGCACAGUGGACAAAACAUUUCUGGCACUUUCAGGAGGGGACUGAACAGUCUGUCCACUUUGGCUGCGUUCGGGGUUCCUGGACGGGCGCAAGUGUGCUUUCACAGGCAACAAGAUUAAUCACACAGCAACCUCCCUCCCUCCCGGCUCCUCACCUGCCCCGCCCCGUCCCCUGUCACCCGCGCUGUGCUCCGGAGCAAACUUCUGAGAAGUCAUUCCAAGUGGCCUCAGGAAGUGAACACUCGAGUCACGCGCCUCCCGCCACAGGCCUCCUCGGUGAGGGGGAGGGGCUGGGAAACACCCCCGACCCCGAGUCCCGUGAACCCCAGCCGUCUCACGUGGGGCACGUCCCAUCCCAACUGACUGCUUUGGCCUCUGACCUGACGCAGUGGCCUGGAUCCGACGGCCGUUCCUCCUGGUGCCUCUCUGGUGGAAGUUCAUCAGAAUUUCCCGAGGUUUGGGAAGCUUCCAGAACCCCCGGAUGAGAUGUGGUCCCAGCCCUGGUUCCCUGUGUCCUUCCACGCUCCAUUUAGAAAGGUCUCUGAGGCACCUGGGUGGCUCGGUUGGUUAAGCGAUCACCUUCGGCUUAGGUCAUGAUCAGGUUCAUGAGUUCGAGCCCCGUGUGAGGCUCGGAGCCUGGAGCCCGCUUCCGAUUCUGUGUCACUGUCUCUGCCCCUCCCCCGCUCACGUUUUUUUUCUCUCUCUCUC